rnacentral:lncRNA from 1 species
UUCAAUAAAACUGAUUUCCAUCAAACAUGAUUAAUUGCUGAUAAUUAAUAUUUUAAAGGCAUUUAAGCGUUGCACUGCAUUCUUGUUUAUUUAGUUUUGACUCGAAUUUGAAGUAGGUAACUGAAUUUUUGCAGUGAUCAAUGUCUUUUUCUUGUGUAUAAAAUGUAUUUAAAGAUGUGUAUAAUGUGAAACUUAUCAGAUUCAGACACAAGUAUUCAUCAUCAUCAUCAUCUCAGCCAUAGGACGUCCGCUACUGAACAUAGGCCUCCCCCUUAGAUCUCCACAGAUACCUGUUGGAGGCGACCUGCAUCCAGCGUCGACGGCGACCUAAGUAUUACCUACCUGGAAAAUCUGUUUUCUUACAACUGUUUAGAGCCCAAAAAUUAAUAAAUAUUUUUAGCAAUU